rnacentral:rRNA from 1 species
UUCCGGUUGAUCCUGCCGGAGGUCACUGCUACUGGGAUUCGACUAACCCAUGCGAGUCGAGAGGGUUCGGCCCUCGGCUGACUGCUCAGUAACACGUGGAUAAUCUGCCCUAGGGAGGAGGAUAACCUCGGGAAACUGAGAAUAAUACUCCAUAGGUCUAAGAUGCUGGAAUGCAUUUAGACUGAAAACUCCGGUGCCCUAGGAUGAGUCUGCGGACUAUCAGGUUGUAGUCAGGGUAAUGACCUGACUAGCCUACGACGGAUAUGGGUUGUGGAAGCAAUAACCCAGAGAUGAUAUCUGAGACACGAUAUCAGGCCCUACGGGGCGCAGCAGGCGCGAAAACUUCACACUGUGCGAAAGCACGAUGAGGGAAUCCCAAGUGCUUGCACGUAAGUGUAAGCUGUUUCUUUGUUUAAAAUGCAAAGAGAGUAAGGGCUGGGUAAGACGGGUGCCAGCCGCCGCGGUAAUACCUGCAGCUCAAGUGGUGACCGUUAUUAUUGGGCCUAAAACGUUCGUAGCCGGUUUAGUAAAUGCCUGGGUAAAUCGUGUAGCUCAACUAUACGAAUUCCGGGUAGACUGCUAAACUUGAGACCGGGAGAGGCUAGAGGUACUCCUGGGGUAGGGGUGAAAUCCUGUAAUCCUAGGGGGACCACCAGUGGCGAAGGCGUCUAGCUAGAACGGGUCUGACGGUGAGGGACGAAGCCCUGGGGCGCAAACCGGAUUAGAUACCCGGGUAGUCCAGGGUGUAAACGCUGCUUGCUUGAUGUUAGUCGGGCUCCGAGCCCGAUUAGUGUCGGAGAGAAGUUGUUAAGCAAGCUGCCUGGGAAGUACGGUCGCAAGACUGAAACUUAAAGGAAUUGGCGGGGGGGCACAGCAACAGGUGGAGCGUGCGGUUUAAUUGGAUUCAACGCCGGG